UCCCUGGAGGACUAGUGGUUAGGCCUCGGCGCUCUCACCGCUGCAGCCUGGGUUCAAUUCCCAGCCAGGGAA
rnacentral:tRNA from 1 species